rnacentral:rRNA from 1 species
UAGGGAAUUUUGCGCAAUGGACGAAAGUCUGACGCAGCAACGCCGCGUGAAGGAUGACGGCCCUCGGGUUGUAAACUUCUGUUGGAUGGGAAAAAAAGCCUCGCAAGGGGAAUUGAUGGUACCAUUCGAGUAAGCACCGGCUAACUACGUGCCAGCAGCCGCGGUAAUACGUAGGGUGCAAGCGUUGUUCGGAAUCACUGGGCGUAAAGAGAGCGUAGGCGGGAUCGUAAGUUAGGAGUUUAAUGCAUGGGCUCAACCCGUGAUCUGCUUUUAAUACUGCGGUUCUUGAGUAUGGGAGAGGGUGAUGGAAUUCCAGGUGUAGCGGUGGAAUGCGUAGAUAUCUGGAAGAACACCAGUAGCGAAGGCGGUCGCCUGGCCCAAUACUGGCGCUGAGGCUACGAAAGCUAGGGGAGCAAACAGGAUUAGAUACCCUGGUAGUCCUAGCCGUAACGAUGGACACUAGUUGCCGGAAGAGUCAAUCCUUCGGUGACGAAGCUAACGC